AGUAGGAUAGCUGGGUCAAAUUGUUUCCAAGUUUUCUAAGGAAUCUCUAUACUGCUUUCCAUAUUGGUUGCACCAAUGUACAGUCCCACCAGCAAU
rnacentral:pre_miRNA from 1 species